rnacentral:rRNA from 1 species
UGGUAUGAGCAUGCCCUCUCUUGUCUGAUCUCAGAAGCUAAGCAAGGUUGGGCCUGGUUAGUAUUUGGAUGGGAGACCGCCUGGGAAUACCAGGUGCUGUAAGCGU